UUAGUUGUGGGCACUUUACCGACCCGACUACUUAUGAAUCGGUGGAGUAUGCAGAUCGACCUUUUGACAUGUCUCACUGAGCCGGUAUAUGCCUUGUUUACAUUUCACGUGUCAUGACGUGAGUAGAGGGUCAGAUAUGGUACAAACAGGAGUCCCCAAAGUUUCUGAUCGAGAAAGGACUUGUUGGUUGGGGACUUGCUUGUCCUUGAGCUCCGGCAUUCUGACCCGAGUGCGAGCGUCUCCCUUCGUAUGCCGAUGGUGACCGUGUAGUCCUCCAAGUCCCCG
rnacentral:lncRNA from 1 species